UUAAUUGAAACCAAAAAAGAGGUUUUUUAUUGUUAAUAAAAAAAUUGAAUAAAAUUUCCAAUUAAA
rnacentral:tRNA from 1 species